AUUGAACGCUGGCGGCAGGCCUAACACAUGCAAGUCGAACGAGUGGCGGACGGGUGAGUAAUGUCUGGGAAACUGCCUGAUGGAGGGAGAUAACUACUGGCAACGGUAGCUAAUACCGCAUACCAUCAGAUGUGCCCAGAUGGGAUUAGCUAGUUGUUGGGGUAACGGCUCACCAAGGCGACGAUCCCUAGCUGGUCUGAGAGGAUGACAAGCCACACUGGAAGGGAGACACGGGCGAGACUCCGACGGGAGGCAGCAGUGGGGAAUAGUGCACAAGGGGCGCAAGCAGGAUGCAGCCAUGCCGCGUGUAUGAAGAAGGCCUUCGGGUUGUAAAGUACUUUCAGCGGGGAGGCGUUACCCGCAGAAGAAGCACCGGCUAACUCCGUGCCAGCCGCCGCGGUAAUAC
rnacentral:rRNA from 1 species